ACUCCUACGGGAGGCAGCAGUGAGGAAUAUUGGACAAUGGAGGCAACUCUGAUCCAGCCAUGCCGCGUGCAGGAAGAAGGUCCUAUGGAUUGUAAACUGCUUUUAUAUAGGAAGAAACCUUUCCACGAGUGGAAAGCUGACGGUACUAUAAGAAUAAGCACCGGCUAACUCC
rnacentral:rRNA from 1 species